GUGGGCUACGGAGACAUUUACCCACAAACACUUUUGGGAAAGAUCGUUGGGGGGCUUUGCUGCAUCGCAGGGGUGUUAGUCAUAGCCCUGCCUAUUCCCAUCAUUGUGAACAAC
rfam:Lepisosteus oculatus linkage group LG9, whole genome shotgun sequence.